GAUGAACGCUGGCGGCGUGCCUAAUACAUGCAAGUCGAGCGAACGGACGAGAAGCUUGCUUCUCUGAUGUUAGCGGCGGACGGGUGAGUAACACGUGGAUAACCUACCUAUAAGACUGGGAUAACUUCGGGAAACCGGAGCUAAUACCGGAUAAUAUUUUGAACCGCAUGGUUCAAAAGUGAAAGACGGUCUUGCUGUCACUUAUAGAUGGAUCCGCGCUGCAUUAGCUCGUUGGUAAGGUAACGGCUUACCAAGGCAACGAUGCAUAGCCGACCUGAGAGGGUGAUCGGCCACACUGGAACUGAGACACGGUCCAGACUCCUACGGGAGGCAGCAGUAGGGAAUCUUCCGCAAUGGGCGAAAGCCUGACGGAGCAACGCCGCGUGAGUGAUGAAGGUCUUCGGAUCGUAAAACUCUGUUAUUAGGGAAGAACAUAUGUGUAAGUAACUGUGCACAUCUUGACGGUACCUAAUCAGAAAGCCACGGCUAACUACGUG
rnacentral:rRNA from 1 species